GAUGAACGCUAGCUACAGGCUUAACACAUGCAAGUCGAGGGCAGCAUGACGAUAGCUUGCUAUUGUUGAUGGCGACCGGCGCACGGGUGAGUAACGCGUAGACAACCUGCCGCAAAGAUGGGGACAACAGUCCGAAAGGACUGCUAAUACCGAAUGUUGUAUCUCCUCCGCAUGGAAGAGAUAUUAAAGAUGGCCUCUACUUGUAAGCUAUCGCUUUGCGAUGGGUCUGCGUCUGAUUAGCUAGUUGGUGGGCAACGGCCUACCAAGGUCGACGAUCAGUAGCCGGUCUGAGAGGAUGAACGGCACAUUGGGACUGAGACACGGCCCAGACUCCUACGGAGGCAGCAGUGGGAAUCUUCCGCAAUGGGCGAAAGCCUAGACGGAGCGAAUGCCGCGUGAGUGAUGAAGGAAUUCGUUCCGUAAAGCUCUUUGUUAUGACGAAUGUG
rnacentral:rRNA from 1 species